rnacentral:rRNA from 1 species
AGAGCGAACGCUGGCGGCAGGCCUAACACAUGCAAGUCGAACGGACUCUUCGGAGUUAGUGGCGGACGGGUGAGUAACACGUGGGAACGUGCCUUUAGGUUCGGAAUAGCUCCUGGAAACGGGUGGUAAUGCCGAAUGUGCCCUUCGGGGGAAAGAUUUAUCGCCUUUAGAGCGGCCCGCGUCUGAUUAGCUAGUUGGUGAGGUAAAGGCUCACCAAGGCUACGAUCAGUAGCUGGUCUGAGAGGAUGACCAGCCACAUUGGGACUGAGACACGGCCCAAACUCCUACGGGAGGCAGCAGUGGGGAAUCUUGCGCAAUGGGCGAAAGCCUGACGCAGCCAUGCCGCGUGAAUGAUGAAGGUCUUAGGAUUGUAAAAUUCUUUCAGUAGGGACGAUAAUGACGGUACCUACAGAAGAAGCCCCGGCUAACUCGUGCCAGCAGCCGC